rnacentral:rRNA from 1 species
AUUGAACGCUGGCGGCAGGCCUAACACAUGCAAGUCGAACGAGUGGCGGACGGGUGAGUAAUGUCUGGGAAACUGCCCGAUGGAGGGGGAUAACUACUGGAAACGGUCGCUAAUACCGCAUACCAUCGGAUGUGCCAAGAUGGGAUUGGCUAGUGGGGGGGGUAACGGCUCACCUCGGAGACGAUCCCUAGCUGGUCUGAGAGGAUGACCAGCCAAACGUGAACUGAGCAACGGUCCAGACUCCUACGGGAGGCAGCAGUGGGGAAUAUUGCACAAUGGGCGCAAGCCUGAUGCAGCCAUGCCGCGUAUAUGAAGAAGGCCUUCGGGUUGUAAAGUACUUUCAGCGAGGAGGCGUUACUCGCAGAAGAAGCACCGGCUAACUCCGUGCCAGCAGCCGCGGUAAUAC